ACCAAAAUUGGGCUUUUCCUCUUUCGUUGUCAACCAGCGGCACGAGUGCUAUUGCUCGCUCGAUCAUACAUUUUUCAAUCUAUAAAGACGUGAGCCUUCACAAGGUUUUUCCUUUUGUGUUAUUGCUGCAUUUGGAAUUCCAAUUACGUCUCCGAGGCCAAUAAUCUUCGACGCCAAGGGUAGUAACCAGUGGUGGACACAAUAACACCCCGUUCCCGCGAUGGCCACGCGAGGAAGAGCGGCCACCCCUUAGUGACCACCGUCGUCGCGCAUGAUGGUCACCUUCUAAGUUCUAAUAAAGCACGCCAAAGACAUCACGACACCCAGCUUAACAUCAUACAGUCGUAUUGGCCGGAUUACGUAAUUAUAUAGACACCUAGAAUCAUAGUUAACAAAAAGUAGCUCACUUGUACGCCUUAGUUGUUUAUUAUUGUUAAUCUUAUAAUUAAAUAUUAUUAAAUUUAACUACAUGUUAUGGCCAGUGAGUAACAUUGCUCGUCGUUGAUCCACGGCAUUUGGCCGACCCCUUUUUUUUAUUUUCUUUAAAGCGAGGCCACUGGGCACUCGCUACAAAUGGUAGCAGAGCGUAACGUAAAUUUUAUUGUUGUAAUCUUUAUCAAAAUUGUUGGUGUAUUGUGAGCUACGAUUAUUUUUAUGUGUUGUUUAUGCAAUAACCUUGUGAUAAUUUAUCGAUUUUAUUUGUCGCGCUUGUACCGAUCGAUCAUAUUUAUGCAGCAUGUGCGGUUGAUAGUCAAUUAGAUAUUUUACUCGUAUAGGUAUUUUCCGCGUUUUAA